GUAAGGACAGACAUAUAUGUGGAGGGUAGUGACUGACAGAUUGAUGGAGGUAAGGACAGAUAUAUAUGUGGAGGGUGGUGACUGACAGAUUGAUGGAGAUAAGGACAGAUGGAUAUGUGGAGGAUGAUGACUGACAGAUUGAUGGAGGUAAGGACAGAUGCAUAUGUGGAGAGUGGUGACUGACAGAUGGAUGGCGGUAAAAACAUGGAUAUGUGGAGAUAUAAAUGUGUAGGGGUGUUCACUGAAAAAUGGAUGGAGAUAAAGACAGAUAUAUAUGAUUGGGUAAUUGAUCUACAGACCGAUCGAUGGAGGGGUGUUGACAUAGGUGUGAAUAGAUUAAGGAGAGAUUCAUAGGUGGUGGGAGAUGCACGAGUGUCAAUAGAUGAACUGAGGGGCAGGAAUAUUGAUGAUAGGUGGGUCAGCGGUACAAUGGAUGAACACUGCUGUUGCACAACACAUUCUUGUUUACAACUUUGUUAAAGAUCUGGUUCUUUCUUU